UUCCGGUUGAUCCUGCCGGACCUACUGCUAUCGGGGGAGGACUAAAACAUGCAAGUCGUGCGUCUCCAAGCCAUGGUGGAGACGCGGCAUACGGCUCAGUAACACGUGGCUAACCUACCCUUAGGACGGGGACAACCCCGGGAAACUGGGGCUAAUCCCCGAUAGGUGAGGAGGCCUGGAAUGGUUCUUCGCUGAAAAGGCGUUGAAACCAUGCUUUUCAACGUCGCCUAAGGAUGGGGCCGCGCCCGAUCAGGUUGUUGGUGGGGUAACGGCUCACCAAGCCUAUAACCGGUACGGGCCGUGAGAGCGGGAGCCCGGAGAUGGGCACUGAGACAAGGGCCCAGGCCCUACGGGGCGCAGCAGUCGCGAAAACUCCGCAAUGCGCGAAAGCGUGACGGGGCUACCCCGAGUGCCGUCCGCUGAGGAUGGCUUUUCCCCGGUGUAAUGAGCCGGGGGAAUAAGGAGAGGGCAAGACUGGUGUCAGCCGCCGCGGUAAUACCAGCUCUCCGAGUGGUAGGGACGAUUAUUGGGCUUAAAGCGUCCGUAGCCGGCUUAGCAAGUCUCCUGUUAAAUUCAGCGACUCAAUCGUUGAGCCGCGGGGGAUACUACUAGGCUAGGAGGCGGGAGAGGUCGACGGUAUUCCCGGGGGAGGGGUGAAAUCCUAUAAUCCCGGGAGGACCACCAGUGGCGAAGGCUGUCGGCUAGAACGCGCUCGACGGUGAGGGACGAAAGCUGGGGGAGCGAACCGGAUUAGAUACCCGGGUAGUCCCAGCUGUAAACGAUGCGGGCUAGGUGUUGAGGUGGCUACGAGCCACUUCAGUGCCGCAGGGAAGCCAUUAAGCCCGCCGCCUGGGGAGUACGGCCGCAAGGCUGAAACUUAAAGGAAUUGGCGGGGGAGCAC
rnacentral:rRNA from 1 species